AUUGGAAGUUUCUAAUAUUUUGUUUUUCUUUUCAUGUGAUAAAACGCUCACGUUGCUCAUGUCAAUCGUCAGUGUGAUUGGUGGUUUACAUGCAUUCAUUUAUCAUCUGCAUAGUCAACACAUGAGAGCAGUUUAACAAAAUGAAGAUUGUUUUGUUUGUUUGCUUUUUUGGAAUGCAUUAUGUAUUAUCCAAGGCAAUAUAAUGUCCGAUUUGCAUCCAUUAUGCGCACAAAACUUACAAUAUUCCACAAGACAUAGUCUCAAGACUGGGAUACAACAACAACAGAACUGACUUCAAAUGUGCAACAAACACAAAGGCGACAGCAGAGCAUUGUGGACCUCAGAUGGUAUCAUGUUCUAGCAGGUACUACUUAUACGAAGGGUUCGGCAGUCAGGCAUUCAAUGGUGCAAACGUCAUAAGUGAAGUGGUUUUGCGCGAUUGCAGCGACAUGCCUGCACAGGAAUGUUUAAAAAUACCAGACCCCCCAGGCGCGAACGGUUUUACAAGUUUCACAGGCUUAUCAUGUUUUAGUGCCUCAUCCAGAGUGUUUAAUCUGAAGAUUCACGAAUAUGACAUUAACGAAACUGCACGACACAUGUACAGCACUGGGACCGUUGCUCUGCCUUCCUACUUCGCAUGGAUGUACUGUCCUAUUCCCCUGCUGAGUCUGCUGAUGCUACUGUCAAUCUAAUAAUACAAGUACAACAUUGGACGUGAAAUAAUAAAUCAAUUAUGUAAAAUAGUCGUAGAAAAGUAACUAAAUGAACCCAUUUAACAAAUUGACAAUUAAUUAUUUUAAACUAGGAAUUCAAAAAAGACAAGUACAUAGGCCUAGUCUUAUUGUUGUAUUAUGAAAUAUGUAACCUUCUUUUAUGAUUCAUAAACAGAAAGAAUUG